AUGGGCCUGCGCACCAUUACCUUGUUGGUAAGGUAACGGCUUACCGGGGCUACAAUGGUUGGCUGGUCUGACAGGAUGAUCAACCACACUGGCACUGAAACACGGGCCAGACUCCUACAGGAGGCAGCAGUGGGGAAUAUUGCGCAAUGGGCGAAAGCCUGACGCAACAACGCCGCGUGAGUGAUGAAUGUUUUCGGAUCGUAAAGCUCUGUCAAAAGGGAAGAAUCUCUGGCGAGAACAAUACCUCGUCAGUUUGACGGUACCUUUAAAGGAAGCACCGGCUAACUCCGUGCCAGCAGCCGCGGUAAUACUGAGGGUGCUAGCGUUGUUCGGAAUUACUGGGCGUAAAGCGCGUGUAGGCGGACUAAGAAAUCUGGUGUGAAAUCCCUCGGCUCAACCGAAGACGUGCGCUCGAAACCAUUAGUCUAGAGACCAGAGGGGAUUGAGGAAUUCCCAGUGUAGAGGUGAAAUUCGUAGAUAUUGGGAGGAACACCAGUGAUGAAGAUGCCGAUCUAGACGGGUUCUGACGCUGAGACGCGAAAGCGUGGGUAGCAAACAGGAUUAGAUACCCUGGUAGUCCACGCCGUAAAUGAUGGGUACUAGGUGCUGGAGGAAUUGACCCCUGCAGUGCAGACUCUAACGCAUUAAGUACGCGACAAGCGAAGUACGGUGGCAAGGCUGAAACUCAAAGGAAUUUCAGAGGAACCGCACAGGCGGUGGAGUAGCAGGUUAAAUUCGACGCAACGUGAAAAACAUUACAUGAGCUUGACAUGGGGAGAACAUCCUAGAGAUAGGAUUGUGCCAUUGGGGGAAUUCCUAGACAGGUCAACCCAGGUGGUGCUCAGCUGUCGUCAUGUGAUGCUGUGAUAAGUCGGGCAAAGUGCGCAACCCAGCUUAAUCGUUGCUAUCAUUUAUGAUGAUCUAUGUAAGGAGCCGGCGACAAAUAAACCGAAGGAAGGGGGGGAGGCAAUUAAGCCCUCCCGGCCUAUCCGUCCAGGCACACACACUACAAUCAAUGGUACAAACAAAGGGCAACCAAACCGGGAGGUGGAAUCUAAUCUCAAAAAACCGAUAUAUGUUCAGAUUGGAUUCAACCACUCGGCUCCAAGAAGG
rnacentral:rRNA from 1 species